UACGUAGGAUCCGAGCGUUGUCCGGAAUUACUGGGUGUAAAGGGCGUGUAGGUGGAUCUCUAAGUCGGUGGUGAAAUCCUGCAGCUUAACUGCAGAACUGCCGUCGAUACUGGAGGUCUUGAGUGCGGCAGAGGGAGACGGAAUUCAUGGUGUAGCGGUGAAAUGUGUAGAUAUCAUGAAGAACACCGGUUGCGAAGGCGGUCUCCUGGCCCGUUACUGACACUGAGACGCGAAAGCGUGGGGAGCAAACAGG
rnacentral:rRNA from 1 species